rnacentral:tRNA from 1 species
CCCGCGCUGCACCGCCGGCAUGCGGGAGGGUCGGCUGUCGGCCGAUCAGGUCGGGGUGAUCGCCGCCCGCGCGGGU